UGGAAGAAGUUUAUCAAUAUUUCAGAGGUGCUUGUAAUCUCAUCACCCUGAUUAUGGAAGCAGCAGCACACUAGUAAACUUCUACCACACUACACAGUUCAACAACCCAGAAGACAGUCACCUUCAUUGUUGCUUUCUUGAUUCCUUCCAUACCAGCAGGGGUCUGUCCUCCUUGGCUGGGCUGCGGGAACGGUCUCCUCUGGUCUUUACGCUGCCAUUCAGCUCUGUACCUGGGGAAGAGGCCCUACCCACUGGACUGUUUGGGCCACGCACUGAUCCACUGCUCGUUGACAGUGACUGCAGCAUACUCACAUCAUUCCCGAGUCCCAGUGGGCUCCGCUCAGAAGCCAUGAUGCACCGCUGAAGAGCUUCCCGAUCACACUGCAAUGCGCACACAAGCCAAAAUGAGAUGUGUCAUGUUCAAGUAAAGUGCAGCCACUUUCAUUAACCAGGACUUGGACCCGUCCACAGAUACUAACUUGUGACGCGUGGUGACUUGCAUCCUUCAUGACUCGGCUCAGAGUUGGAGAGUCAACUGGUCCCUGGCUACGAUCAUCCUCAUCCAGGGAGUGCAGGAGCUACAGCAAAGAGACAAGCAUACAGCACGUAAAAAAGAUAAGGAUGGAAGAUGGACAGUGUCAUCUUCAACUCUGCAGACGAUGUCUUCUGUGAGUAGAUGUUUUGGCGUGACAGCAAAGUUGAGGCCCAUCAUUAGAUCGGUGAUGGUAGUGGUAUCAAAUGAUCGGCUGUAUAUGUCAACCACAGUGCAGCAUUCAUAAAUUUUAAAUAUACGUGGAACUGUAAUACCGAAUACCGUGGUCGAGCGGACACCACUCCUGCUUUGUAUUCAGGAGGUCCGAGUUUCAAGUCUUGAUCCGGAGACCAGCUUAGAACUGAUUUAAACAUGACCGAUAGAAAAAAACAUUUACUGUGAAACAGCUCAUCUGUAAUAAUCAACAUUGGUUAACUGCAGCAGUGGCACUGAGAGACAUUACAGAAUGAGGAGAAUGUUCCCUAAUAUGUAAUACUCAUUUAGAAGGGAUAAUAAUUUAUACAUAAAUCUUUUGUAAAAAAAAAUGUGGUUUCUUGGUUUCAGGAAAAUAACUACAAUUUAUAACAUUGCACUUAUUCAAGAACAAAAUUUUAUAUACACCAAUGUGCUGUAAGAGUAGGGACUGCCGAUAAAUACAUUCCUCGUGUUGAAACAGACUCAAUAUACCAUACGAAAUCAUGGCUUGUACAAUAUGUUGAUAUGGACAAUAAUAAAAAUAUAUUCCUAUGU